AACGAACGAAAAAGCCAAGCCACGAAUAAAUAAGAAAGAAGUCAUUACCUGAGUCCGUAGCGUGGAUGUGUUACAUAGUAUUGUAUUAUUUAGUUGUGUCGAAGGUUGAGGUGGCCACGAUUAGUCAUCUACGACACAUUCUUUCAGCCUGUUGUCCAAAACCUACACCACUUCUCUUGCCGUCACUUCCACAAUAGAAAAACUUAUAUCCUUCACCUAUCUCUCUAGCCCUUGCACCCUUCCAUUUUGUCUCUUGCAGGCACGCUACAUUUAUUCGUCAUCUUUUCAAAACAUCUGCUAGCUCUCUUCCUCUUCCAGUCAUCGUUCCUACAUUCCAACUCGCAUACCUCAAUCUCAAUUCUCUCACACUUUGAGCUUGCAUCUUACGUCGCACCCGUCCGUUAUGGUGCGACAACCCUUGUCCAUUUCCCACAGGAGCCGGGUGCUGCUCCUGCGCGUCGCCUGUGGGGUACGCCCUAGCCCUAUCGCUCAUAAUAUUUACUGUCCUCAUACUCCUCAUGCUGCAUAAGUUUCGGCUUAGGUUUUAUGGUCGGCCGCCUGCCUGACACCAACCCUCUUUGGAAAUGCUGCAAUAAUCUAUAAGAAAUUAUAAAUUUCACCUUUGCACCAAAAAUGCUGUCGACCAGUGUUAUUUAUUGAGUGUUGUGAGGUUGGCACUACACUAGUGGCAGCUGCGUUCUAUAGUCUAUGAUGACGAAUAUGUAUGAUGACUUUAAGGAAAGUUUCCUUCAACCUCACCUCAAAACAUAACGUAACGAGGUUACGUUGAAGAUAUUUCUAUGUUGUUUUUCACUAUUUGCACAAUUUUUCACAAUAGUAGGGGAGGCCUAGAAGGGAUUUCGGGAUUUACUCAAGCGCGGCAGAUUAGUAUAUAGGGAGGUACCUAUUACCCCAUUUAACACCUCCACCAAAUAUAAGCCCUGUAUAUGCAGCCGCGCGUCUAGAAUAAAGGAUCAGAUUAUAAAAAAAAAAUUAUCAUCUGACAUUCUCCAGCGCGUCAGAUUAAGAUAGGGUAAGUUAGUUAUAUGCUAAAAAGUGUAUAUUCCACUAAUCUGACAAUUUGCGAUUGACGAUAAGAAGUAGGAAGGUUACAAACUUGUAAAAAAAAAACGUCAUCUUGACUUUCUCGAGCGCGGCUAUUUUUUUUUUAUUUUGAAGGGAGUAAUUCAACGUUCACGAAAAAUAUAAAAUCUGACGAUUCCCGUAAGCCGAAGUAAGGAAAAUUUAUCAAUAAAGUUUAAAGCGUGCAGCUACGUGAUGCCGGUAUUCUCCUCCCAAGUUUCUAUUCCUCUCUCUCUUUUUUCAAUUCAAUUCAUUUGCAAUAAGUGUUAGUACAUUUUGGGUCUUAAAUAAUCUACACUAAUAUUAUAAAGCUGAAGAGUUUUUUGUUUGAACUCGCUAAUCUCAGGAAGUUACUGGUCAUGGUAUGCAGAUAUAUCGUUUUUAACGAAGACGAUUCAUUUUAUUGGAUAGGUACUUUUGUUAAAUACGUGUGCCUUCCAGUUGCAUUGUUUGUCUAUCGUGAUACCGAGAAAUGCCGUUUCGUAUACUUCGCCUUUUUUAUACAGGUCGUGGUGGCCUAGUCAUCCGGUUAACAUUGGCUCUACUCUGCAUAACGUGGUUCACAAAUUACGCGUAGUGUCGCUUCAUCAAUGAAAGCAACUGCUAUCUCUUUCUAUCUGUUCUGCAAGAGUGGCAACGCGCAACUCUACUGGAUGGUUUUAUUUAAACUAAUAAAUUAAGUCUUUAUACGUAUUUUUUUUUGUAUGAAAAUAGCUGGGAAAAAGGCUGGGCAGAUUAUUUAGAUUUUAGAUUUAUCUAUGGGUAUUAAAUUGAAUAAAAUUAGUUUUUGUAAGAUUUACGCGUAGAUUAUUUCCGUCAAGCCAUGUUAUUAUAGAUUCUAUUGUAUUGUUUAUGACACAUGUAUAUUUAUCAAUGUCAUUAUAAUUAAAUGUAAUUAUUAUAGAAAUGUAUGUAAUGUAUGAGCAGAUUGAUACACUCCGCUAAUAGCAAUGUCAUAUAUAUCAUUGUAUUAUGUGCCUUCUUAUCGAGAACAACCUUUAUUAUAACAGCUUUGUUGAAAUGUUUGUCCGUUCUGAGAUAUAUCUCAAAAAGUGUCUUUUUGAUCUAUAGAUCAAAAAGUGUGUAAAAGUUGAUAGUACUUAGAAGACAUACUCGUAGUAGCACUUAGAUAUUCCUUUAAAAACUUGAGAUAUCAAUGGAUUAUUUAGUUUUAACUUUUACACACUUUUUGAUCUAUAUCUCAGGACGGGCAAACGUCAACAAAGCUGUCAUAUUAAAGGUUG
rnacentral:lncRNA from 1 species